CGGCUCUAACCCUAAAAACCCUUCCCCAAAAAAGACAGGAGAAAGGAAGAAAAAAGUCUCCCUUUUUUUCCUUUCCAUCUUCUCUUCUCCUUCUCUCAUCCAUGGCGAAGAAGCGAAAGCUCGAGUCGGAACUCAACCCUCUCGAAACCGACUCAGCGGCGACCGAUUCCGCGACCGAUUCGGAAUCGGACGAAGAAGAUCUGGCCAAGACCCUCGAGCCCUUCAACAAGGAGCAGCUCAUCGACCUCCUCCGAUCCGCAGCUUCCUCCGACCCUAGUAUCGCUGAAGAGAUCCACCGGGUUGCCGACCGCGACCCGGCCCACCGCAAGCUCUUCGUCCACGGCCUUGGCUGGGAGACCACCUCCGAUAAGCUCAGCUCCUACUUCUCCAAGUACGGCGAGCUCGAGGACUGCAACGUCGUCGUCGACAAGGCUUCCGGCAAAUCCAAGGGCUACGGCUUCCUCCUCUACAAGCAUCGCCGGUCCGCUAGGAAGGCCCUCAGGAACCCUCAGAAGAAGAUCGACGGUCGGAUGACCGCAUGCCAGCUUGCGUCGGCUGGCCCCGUGCAGCCGCAGCAGGGCCUACAGCCCCAGCAGAAGGAGGCGUUGGCAAGGAAGAUCUACGUUGGGAACGUGAAUUCGGAUAUCCCUGCUGCAAAAUUGCUCACAUUCUUCUCCAAGUAUGGGGAAAUCGAGGAGGGGCCCCUAGGGUUUGAUAAGCAGACGGGCAAGUCGAAGGGUUUCGCCCUUUUCAUAUAUAAGACUGUUGAGGGGGCGAGGAAGGCAUUGGAAGAGCCGAACAAGAGCUUCGAAGGGCACCAAUUGUAUUGUCAGAAGGCGACAGAUAGUCACAAACUCCGGGCUGCUUCCACUGCCGUGCCAUCUUCCAAUAAUGCUCCAGGGCCCGCAGGCCCAUCCGGGUAUAACGCGUCAGGCAGUGGUGCAAAUGUGGGUUUUGGUGGGCCGGACAUGGCUGCUUCGGCGGCUUUAUUAGGACAAGGGCUCCUGUCUGGGGCACUGCCGUUUGGUGGACAGGGUGUUGCACAGAAUCAAGCAGCGCUUGCUGUGCUUGCAGCUGCUGGGCAGAAUCCGGCUGCUUUCGGUGUUUCACCGGCCAUGCUUGCAUCAUUGAACCCUGCUGCUUUGGCUGCAGCACUGAAUAUGGGGGCUGCGCCGCAGGUGGCGGGGUCGGCGGUUCCACAGGCGCUGCAGGGUUUUGGGAUGGGAAAUGCAGGGUAUCAGAAUUCACAGGGUCAUCAGGGUGCAAAUUCAUUUCAGGGUGGGCAUAUGGGGCAAGGUUCUGUGCCGAGGCCGCAUUCUGGUGUGGGACCAAUGGGAGGAUAUGCAUCACGUUAGGUUGGCAACAUGGCCUCCUUGCAUCACUUGUUCUCCCACUGUGGUCAAUUCAGAACAUGUCAAACGAUUGGAUCAUAACUCCUACACUACGACUUGAGAGAUUAGUCAGCAUGCUUCGGCUAACCAAUCCUGUGUAAUUUGGACCAAUGAGGGGACUUAAUUUCCUUCUACGUUUCCACUGUUUUUCAGUUGUCCCUAUUCCAGAAAUCCUUUGAUUUCCUGGACUAGAGAAGAUGCAUUGAUUAUUGGAUUGAAACCAUGCAAGAUCGGGAGGUCCCAUCCCUCGCCGGAUCCAAUCCACGCAUGAUUUGAAUACGAUCGUAGUUUCUUGUAUGGAGAUCAUAGAAUCCGUCAAUGGAACAGCAAUAGCAACAGCAAAUGCUGAAAUAGAAGCAAAGAGUCAUGUGAUUCAUUCAAAAGUGAGAGAGAUGGGUUUGAGGGCCACACACAGUUUCAUUCCAGCUGUGGUGUUUGGAGGGGAUGCACUCUUGGGGCUUGCAAGAUAGGAAAGGGAGUAGGAGGAAAAGCAAAAAUCUUCUCGGCAGGCAGCGGUACAGGAAUUGUCUGAUCAGGGAUAUGAUGUGGAAGAGCAGAAAGAAGCUAGAAUAUGGUAGAGCCAUCUCUCUGCAGUAUGUGAGGCAAGUUGAUGUAGCAAUUCAUUCUGUCCAUCCAAUGGGCCCCAUCAAAUGAUGCUGUCCCAUGCACCAUUGCCGUCAGUUGGAACACAUUCAUCAUGGCUGAGUAGGAUGAAGUUGCCAUCUUUUCAAAGCAGCUAUGGAUAGAACGCAUCAUAACAUGUUUCUAUGGUCUGGCGAAUCAAGCUUCCUGCACUUUGACCUGGAUGAGAAAGGUAUUAUGAACAUUCCUGUCAUUGCAGGCAUUGCAUGUGACAACCUGUGCACGUGGGGCUGAAAUUUGAGCCAAGGAAAAGGUGGGUCACACUUGAGAUGAUCUUGCCAGUAAAACAUUGAAUGUGUUUGUGCAAGUGUUGCUUACAUUAGUGCCAGGUGCUUGAUUACUGAGCCGGUUACACCACUGGGUCCACCUGAAACAAGAUUGGGAUUUCCAUAACACUUAGGGUUGCAUAUUUAAUGUUGUGGUUGAGCAAAACUCUCUUCUGCAUACGCCCAUGGUGCAUAUCUGUGGCAUCAAAUAAAUGUAAUAUUCAAUCUCA